rnacentral:rRNA from 1 species
UACGUAGGAUGCAAGCGUUGUCCGGAAUUAUUGGGCGUAAAGAGCGCGCAGGCGGUUACUCAAGUCAGAUGUAAAAUAUCCCGGCUUAACCGGGAGGGGCCAUUUGAAACUGGGUAACUAGAGUGAAGCAGAGGAUAGCGGAAUUCCCGGUGUAGUGGUGAAAUGCGUAGAUAUCGGGAGGAACACCAGUGGCGAAGGCGGCUAUCUGGGCUUUAACUGACGCUGAGGCGCGAAGGCUAGGGGAGCAAACAGG